GGAUUGUGGCUCAGCGGUAGAGUGCUCACCUAGCAUGUGUGAAGCCUGGGUUCAAUCCUCAGCACCA
rnacentral:tRNA from 1 species